rnacentral:rRNA from 1 species
UCCUACGGGAGGCAGCAGUGGGGAAUAUUGGACAAUGGGCGAAAGCCUGAUCCAGCCAUGCCGCGUGUGUGAAGAAGGUCUUCGGAUUGUAAAGCACUUUAAGUUGGGAGGAAGGGCAGUUACCUAAUACGUGAUUGUU